UGGUGGGCGGUCCUUCCUGUGACACGACCCUUGAGUGACAGUUCUAUUUGAUUGCCUCCAGUACUGUGAGGAAAGGACACGACUCUAUGGUGAGGACUGAUGGACAUACAUUAUCUGAGAAAAGAAACUACCAGAUGCUGGCAUCACCAUCUACAUCAGGUCAGCUGUCUCAAUUUGGGGCAAGUUUAUACGGGCAACAAAUAUGUCUGGAUUUGGAAUGAACAGGAAUCAGGCAUUUGGAAUGAAUAACUCCUUAUCAAGUAACAUUUUUAAUGGAACAGAUGGCAGUGAAAAUGUGACAGGAUUGGACCUUUCAGAUUUCCCAGCAUUAGCAGACCGGAAUAGAAGGGAAGGAAGUGGCAACCCAACUCCAUUAAUAAACCCCUUGGCUGGAAGAGCCCCUUACGUUGGAAUGGUAACAAAACCUGCAAAUGAGCAAUCCCAGGACUUCUCAAUACACAACGAAGAUUUCCCAGCACUACCUGGCUCCAGCUAUAAAGACCCAACGUCGAGUAAUGACGACAGCAAGUCUAAUUUGAGUACAUCGGGGAAGACGACUUCAAGUACAGAUGGGCCCAAAUUUCCUGGAGAUAAAAGUUCAACAACACAAAACAAUAAUCAGCAGAAAAAGGGGAUCCAGGUGUUACCUGAUGGUCGAGUUACUAACAUUCCUCAAGGGAUGGUGACGGACCAAUUUGGAAUGAUUGGCCUGUUAACAUUUAUCAGGGCAGCAGAGACAGACCCGGGAAUGGUACAUCUUGCUUUAGGAAGUGACU
rnacentral:lncRNA from 1 species